rnacentral:rRNA from 1 species
AACGGCCGUACCAUGCUGAAUAUAUCGGUUCUCGUUAGAUCACCGAAGUUAAGCAUCAUUGGGCAGUACUUGGUUGGGUGACCAACUGGGAACACUGCGUGCCGUU